CAGUCGCCGCGGGAAUACGUAGGUGGCAAGCGUUGUCCGGAUUUAUUGGGCGUAAAGCGAGCGCAGGCGGUUUCUUAAGUCUGAUGUGAAAGCCCCCAGCUCAACCGGGGAGGGUCAUUGGAAACUGGGAAACUUGAGUGCAGAAGAGGAGAGUGGAAUUCCAUGUGUAGCGGUGAAAUGCGUAGAUAUAUGGAGGAACACCAGUGGCGAAGGCGGCUCUCUGGUCUGUAACUGACGCUGAGGCUCGAAAGCGUGGGGAGCAAACAGGAUUAGAUACCCCCGUAGUCCCUGUCUCUUAUAC
rnacentral:rRNA from 1 species